rnacentral:hammerhead_ribozyme from 1 species
AUCCAUCUGACGAGUCCCAAAUAGGACAAAACAGACGUCCUGAAU